GUUUGAUCAUGGCUCAGGACGAACGCUGGCGGCGUGCCUAACACAUGCAAGUCGAACGGGAUAGCAAUAUCCAGUGGCGAACGGGUGCGUAACACGUGAAGAAUUUGUCCAACGGCGGGGGAUAGCCGGCCCAACGGCCGGGUAAUACCGCGUACGCUCAUCGGGGGGCAUCCCUUGAUGAGGAAAGCCGCAAGGCGCCGAUGGAGAACUUCGCGGCCUAUCAGCUAGUUGGCGGGGUAAUGGCCCACCAAGGCGACGACGGGUAGCUGGUCCGAGAGGAUGACCAGCCACAUUGGGACUGAGACACGGCCCAGACUCCUACGGGAGGCAGCAGUGGGGAAUAUUGCGCAAUGGGCGAAAGCCUGACGCAGCGACGCCGCGUGUGGGAUGACGGCCUUCGGGUUGUAAACCACUGUCGGGAGGGACGAAGAUCUGACGGUACCUCCAAAGGAAGCACCGGCUAACUCUGUGCCAGCAGCCGCGGUAAUACAGAGGGUGCGAGCGUUGUCCGGAAUCACUGGGCGUAAAGGGCGCGUAGGUGGCCCGAUAAGUAGGGGGUGAAAUCUCGAGGCUCAACUUC
rnacentral:rRNA from 1 species